UUUGUGGUUGGAUAUAGUUUUCCCGCCUAAAUCUAUAUUGUGACCAGUGGGUUCUUUGUCUUCAUAUAGUUUAGACAUAUUUUCUAUUCAUAGAGUUUGAGAAUAUUGCAGAUUCUAUAUUUUUGUGACAGAUAUAUAUUUAUAAGAUAUUAUUUACUACUGAAUAAGAAUAUAGUUACUGAUACAUAUUACCAGUAUAAAACCUGGUCCCAUAGACAGGGUUGUUGUUUAUACUGCCGUAAUAAAAGUAUUGACAUCAUCUAGUCUGCUCUACCGCCCACUGUACCCCUACUAGAAAUUGGCGCCUAACGUAAAUGGCAUGAUGCAAACUGUGUAGACCA